AGGUGGAUUAGUGGCGCACGGGUGAGUAACGCAUAGAUAACAUACCCUUUAGUCUGGGAUAGCCACUGGAAACGGUGAUUAAUACUAGAUACUCCCUACGGGGGAAAGAAUUUCGCUAAAGGAUUGGUCUAUGUCCUAUCAGCUUGUUGGUGAGGUAAUGGCUCACCAAGGCUAUGACGGGUAUCCGGCCUGAGAGGGUGAACGGACACACUGGAACUGAGACACGGUCCAGACUCCUGUCGGGAGGCAGCAGUAGGGAAUAUUGCUCAAUGGGGGAAACCCUGAAGCAGCAACGCCGCGUGGAGGAUGAAGGUUUUAGGAUUGUAAACUCCUUUUGUUAGAGAAGAUU
rnacentral:rRNA from 1 species